AUGAACGCUAGCGGCAGGCCUAACACAUGCAAGUCGAGGGGUAACUAGAGUGAUAGCAAUAUUACUUUGGCUAGACCGGCGCACGGGUGCGUAACACGUAUGCAACCUACCUUAUACUGGGGAAUAACUUCGAGAAAUCGGCGCUAAUACCCCAUAACACUGCGAAGAGGCAUCUCUUUGCAUUUAAAGCUCCGGCGGUAUAAGAUGGGCAUGCGUCCUAUUAGCUAGAUGGUAAGGUAACGGCUUACCAUGGCAACGAUAGGUAGGGGUCCUGAGAGGGAGAUCCCCCACACUGGUACUGAGACACGGACCAGACUCCUACGGGAGGCAGCAGUGAGGAAUAUUGGACAAUGGGCGCAAGCCUGAUCCAGCCAUGCCGCGUGCAGGAAGAAGCAUCUAUGGUGUGUAAACUGCUUUUGUACGGGAAGAAACACUCCUUCGUGAAGGAGCUUGACGGUACCGUAAGAAUAAGGAUCGGCUAACUCCGUG
rnacentral:rRNA from 1 species